AACGAACGCUGGCGGCAGGCUUAACACAUGCAAGUCGAGCGCCCCACAAGGGGAGCGGCAGACGGGUGAGUAACGCGUGGGAACGUACCUUUUGGUUCGGAACAACUCCGGGAAACUGGAGCUAAUACCGGAUAAGCCCUAACGGGGAAAGAUUUAUCGCCGAAAGAUCGGCCCGCGUCUGAUUAGCUAGUUGGUGAGGUAACGGCUCACCAAGGCGACGAUCAGUAGCUGGUCUGAGAGGAUGAUCAGCCACACUGGGACUGAGACACGGCCCAGACUCCUACGGGAGGCAGCAGUGGGGAAUAUUGGACAAUGGGCGCAAGCCUGAUCCAGCCAUGCCGCGUGAGUGAUGAAGGCCUUAGGGUUGUAAAGCUCUUUUGUCCGGGAAGAUAAUGACUGUACCGGAAGAAUAAGCCCCGGCUAACUUCGUG
rnacentral:rRNA from 1 species